rnacentral:rRNA from 1 species
UACGUAGGGUGCAAGCGUUAAUCGGAAUUACUGGGCGUAAAGCGUGCGCAGGCGGUUGUGCAAGAUAGAUGUGAAAUCCCCGGGCUUAACCUGGGAACUGCAUUUGUGACUGCACAGCUGGAGUGCGGCAGAGGGGGAUGGAAUUCCGCGUGUAGCAGUGAAAUGCGUAGAUAUGCGGAGGAACACCGAUGGCGAAGGCAAUCCCCUGGGCCUGCACUGACGCUCAUGCACGAAAGCGUGGGGAGCAAACAGG